rnacentral:rRNA from 1 species
UACGGAGGAUCCAAGCGUUAUCCGGAAUCAUUGGGUUUAAAGGGUCCGUAGGCGGUUUGGUAAGUCAGUGGUGAAAGCCCUUCGCUCAACGGAGGAACGGCCAUUGAUACUGCCAGACUUGAAUUACUGGGAGGUAACUAGAAUAUGUAGUGUAGCGGUGAAAUGCUUAGAUAUUACAUAGAAUACCAAUUGCGAAGGCAGGUUACUACCGGUGGAUUGACGCUGAUGGACGAAAGCGUGGGGAGCGAACAGG